GGGUCAGUAGGUUGGUCGUGCCACCGGUACGUACUGGUCUCACUGAUUCCUCCUUCCUGAAGAACCGUAAUGCCAUUAAUUUGGUGUUGCGGGGAAACAGGACUGUUACUUUGAAAAAAUUAGAGUGUUUAAAGCAAGCUAGCGCUUGAAUACAUUAGCAUGGAAUAAUAAAAUAGGACGAUCGAUCCUAUUUUGUUGGUUUCUAGGAUUGACGUA
rnacentral:rRNA from 1 species